rnacentral:rRNA from 1 species
GAUGAACGCUGGCGGCGUGCUUAACACAUGCAAGUCGAACGGAAAGGCUCCUGCUUGCAGGGGCACUCGAGUGGCGAACGGGUGAGUAACACGUGGGUGAUCUGCCCUGCACUUCGGGAUAAGCCUGAGAAACUGGGUCUAAUACCGGAUAGGACCAUCGUUUAGUGUCGGUGGUGGAAAGUUUUUUCGGUGUGGGAUGAGCUCGCGGCCUAUCAGCUUGUUGGUGGGGUAAUGGCCUACCAAGGCGUCGACGGGUAGCCGGCCUGAGAGGGUGUACGGCCACAUUGGGACUGAGAUACGGCCCAGACUCCUACGGGAGGCAGCAGUGGGGAAUAUUGCACAAUGGGCGCAAGCCUGAUGCAGCGACGCCGCGUGGGGGAUGACGGCCUUCGGGUUGUAAACUCCUUUCGCCAGGGACGAAGCGAAAGUGACGGUACCUGGAUAAGAAGCACCGGCUAACUACGUG